AGCUGUCGCCAUGCCGAAAGGUAAUAUAAACUUCUGAUAUGCCCUUGAUUUUCAGGUAAUCCUCAUCUUGUCUGCCUUGGAGCCUCCGAAUCAGUUCAUUUUGCAUAUCUGCAAAAGCAAGUGACUUCAGAUAGAUGAGGAACUCAAUGCCUGCUGGGACAUUCUCCAGCAAUUCACAGUGGAUAAUCCUGAGAUCUUCGAGCUGUGGCAUUGCCCCAUGUUCCACUGACACCCUCCUCAGCUGCUUCAAGUCAUGGAGAUGCAAUACCUUAAGUGCUUGGAACCCUCCAGCCAUGAAAUGCAACUCUCCACCAUCAUAAGCAUCGCGAAGUUGAAGCUCCACUAGAUUUGGUAGAGCUUGAAGAGGCUCAAGUGGAUUCAAUCUUAGCCUACUCCACCUCAGCCGCAGUUUCACAAGGUUAUCCAACGAAGAUAUCCACGGCGGUAGCUUCUCCAAGUUUCCUUGCAGCCAUAUCCGCUGAAGGUAUGGCGGAGGAGAAGACAUGGACUGGAGGUCAAGGAUCUCACGCUCCUCUAUUGAACUCAAAUCUAAUGACCGAAGGUUCUUUAGGUUUUCGAUGGAAGAGCACAGUGCCACCCCAUCUUCUCUCCUCAAUUUGGUAAUGCCCAACUUUCUGAGUUGGGUUAACUUUCCUACCUCAUUCAAUAUAUCACUACUUUGAUCUGCUUCAACAAAGCAGAGCUUUUGCAAAGAUGGCAGGUCCCCCAUUCCCAAUGGUGCCUUAAAACCAUAAGUGGCGUAAAAGGGUGAAGAUGUUCCUUUCUGGUAACGGUACACCAAAAGAUGGCGUAAUUCUUUGAGCUUUCGGAUUUCAACAGGCAAUUCAGUCACGUCAGCAUGCUUGAGAUCCAAUGUCUCCAGCUGUGCACCCUGCAAAUCUAAUACUUUUAGUAGCCUGAGACUUCCGGCAAGCAAUCUAGAGAUGCGUGAUUUAGGUGGCAGAUCUCUUACCCCGAACAUGAACAGAGAACGAAGUUGGGAGUCCUUCCUGCUUUUUUUCACUUCUCUACACGUUCCAUGAAUUGACAAGCGCCGGAGUUUUUCAGGCCAGGGUGCAUUGUUUUUAUUGGCUAUCGCUACAAAAUUUAGUUCUCUAGACUUUGAAAGAGCAAUUUCUCGCAGAAGGUCAUGGACUCGGCAUGCGCUAACCCUUCCAUUUCUAGUUGUUUUGGCUAUUUGGACUAGGCUUCUAUCAACAAGCUCAUUGAGGGAAAAUGCUCAAGUAUAGGAAACACACUUUCAAGUAACUCGGCAAAUGAUCAUAACUGAGCAACAGUACUUGCUUCAUACUCUCGAGCUUUCUGUUUCCUUCGAUAUGAGCACCAAGGCUGCGGUUAACUUUCUCCCAUUCAUCUAUUUUACCCUUCUCUUUAGUUGACAGAAGGCCCCCAAUUGCCACAAUUGCAAGCGGCAAGCCUUCACAUCUUCCUAGGAUUUCUCGAGAAAGUUUCUCCAAGUGUGGAGGACUAGAGUCUGCUCUGAAUGCCUUUCUGCAAAAUAAUCUCCAAGACAAAUCCUCAGUCAAGGGUUUCAGAUUAUAUAUCUGAUCAUCAAAUCUUGUGCAGGCAGUCCGAGCUAUAUCAGCAUGUCGGGUUGUGACCAUCACUCGGCUCCCAAAUUGAGAGUUAGGGAAUGCAUAUGUUAGAGCUUCCCAUGCCUCUAUACCCCAUAUAUCAUCCAAAACAAUUACAUACCUCUUUUGAUUCAGGAAUUCGUUGAUUUUCAUUUUCAGGCCUUCUAUUUUCAUGGUCUUAACUUCUUGGGGGAUUCGUUGCUUGAUUUGUUCAAACAGUUGCUGAAUUAUGUCUUUCAGGAUCUCUUUAAUCAUGAAUGACUCUGUAACUGUGAUCCAAGCUUGGAUCUGGAAAUGGCUUUUCACUAUUGCAUCAUCGUAAACCUUUUUUACCAGGGUGGUUUUCCCUGUCCCCCCCAUUCCAACCACUGAGAUUACCCUGAGUCCAGGCUCACCCUUCAAAAGGUACUCAAUCAGCUGCCCCUUGGGCUUGUCUAUUCCUACUAACCCAGCUUCCUCUACAAGAAGAGCAUCCACUCGGCAAUCGUGCCACGAUCUGCUGUUAGAAUUAAAGGUGGAUGAGGUCGAGCCCUCCUCCGGUGUAAGUCUGCGACGGUAUGUCUUAUGCUCCUUUAAGUUUUUGACUCUUUCUUUGAUGUCUUUCAGUUUUCUAUCAAUUUGGUGGCCAGCCUUCAAGUUCAGGAUGCAUUGAAAAGCUUUGAGGAUAAAGCCAUAGAUCCCCUCCCUGUGAGGGUACACUGAAUGAAGCUUGAACUCGUCGAGGACGUCUUCCAUAUCAUAAACAACAUUGCGCAUUUGCUUAACCCAUACAUCAAUCUCUUGAUCGCUCUCUUUGUCUGUAUCUGCAUCCCCUAGAAAAGCCCUCAUCCUAUCCAAUUCAUCCGUGAUGCACCGAACUUCUCCCCGCGCAUCGCUGAAUCGGUUCAAGGCUCCGCUCCGCAAAAGUGCAACUAGGUUGUUGAGUAGAAAGUUGACUACACUUUCUGCCAUUUGCCUCUUAGAACUUGUGCUUCUGUCUCUCAAGAAACCUGUCCAACAAGCAAUGAUCCUCUCUGUGGUUUAGAUAUGAAGAAAUGUCUCACCGCAUAUGCUAUCCGCGGAGGUAUUCUCCCAAACUCUUUGUGGAGUAAAGAUACUAUUGUUUAGCUGGUUUGAGGAUAAAGCUUUGUGGAGUGAAAAGGCUGAAUUGGAAUGUAAAGGAAAAGUGGGGAUAAAAAAGGAGCAUGUUGCUCAAAGCAUGGCCAAAUAUGGGGGAAUAAAGCUAACACAACCAUUUUGUCAACAAAUAUCGGACUUUCACGAUCUCUUUUCACUGUGGCAUACUGUGCUUGUUGCUGAUACCUUUCUUUUGUUUUUGGGUUGCAUGGUGAUUAUGUUGCUUCUGUGAAAUAUCAUCAAACAAACAAAAGAGCAACAAUGAGCUUUCCUUCGC